rnacentral:misc_RNA from 1 species
AAGUCGUAACAAGGUUUCCGUAGGUGAACCUGCGGAAGGAUCAUUAAUGGAUUUUGACCGGUGGUCAAAUUACCUUGUGAUGUGUUGAAUGUUGUGUAUCUGUUGCCAGGUAAAAGUGGCGACGGUACUCUUUUUCAAAACCAUUUUUCAUUUCUGAUUUUCAUGUGCAUCUUUGUGUGCAUACAAACAACCGAAAACUGCCAGCAACGGAUCACUCGGUUCUC